rnacentral:rRNA from 1 species
UACGGGGGGGGGCAAGCGUUGUUCGGAAUUACUGGGCGUAAAGGGCUCGUAGGCGGCCAACUAAGUCGGACGUGAAAUCCCUCGGCUUAACCGGGGAACUGCGUCCGAUACUGGAUGGCUUGAGUUCGGGAGAGGGAUGCGGAAUUCCAGGUGUAGCGGUGAAAUGCGUAGAUAUCAGGAGGAACACCGGUGGCGAAGGCGGGUCUCUGGGCAGUAACUGACGCUGAGGAGCGAAAGCGUGGGGAGCGAACAGG